rnacentral:misc_RNA from 1 species
CCUUUCAAUGCAGAAGAGUUGAGAUGGUUGAGUAUCUCGCCUCUCAAUUCUCGCUGUAUUUUUACCCUUGUUUUUCUUCAUACUAUUAUUUCCUCGGCAGGCUCGCCUGCCGGGUGAAAACAACUUCAAACCUGUUUAAUUUUCAAUCAGCGUCUGAACAAAUUAAUAAUUA